rnacentral:misc_RNA from 1 species
UGUAUUGCAGCAAAAGCAUAGGAUCUGAACUUAUUUGCAUCCAUUGAUUUACAGAAACAAGAAUCCUUCCUGCACUAACUAUAUUUACAUGCUAUAGCCCAACUACCUACUUAAGUAAAUCAAUAGCAAAUCACAAAACUAGAUAUUAACUAAAAUGAGCAAAUGGAGUCCUAACAAGCCAAAAGGAGCUAAUAUUGAUGCAUAUUUCCACAGGAAUAACCUUGACUAUAUUAUUCUUCAUUAAACUGAUAGAAGCAUCUACAGUAACCCCAAGCCUUAUGAUUUAUUAGGCAACGGUGGUCGAGGUGGAAGGAUUAAGCUGGCAAGUUCGUCAUUUAGCUUUACAGGGAGGGGUGGCAUCUGCUUCAUUAUUUCUGGCAUAUCGUUCAAGUCAUUUAAGAUGGUGAAGAUAUUGUUUCGAGCUUGAGUAAAAAGGUUAAUGUUUUCUUGGAUCUUAAAAACAGUAAAAUUUGCAGAUAUUUGAUCCAAUGCCUGAGCGUUUUGCUCAAGAAGCUGUCCAGUGGUACCACCAAUGGCUUUGUAGGAAAUUCCAUCAUCACUGUCCAUUGACAUAACAGAUUGAGCAUAGGGAGGACCAUUUGCACGAUUAGCCACAUGAGAAGAUUUUGGCAUAGAGUCGGUGACCUUUUCCUUUUUGUCUUUAUUUUUCCGUGAGUUAUGAUCAUCUUUUCUUCGCUUUCCAAUCUCCUUUUUAG